GUGGCGUCAUCAGGGCAUUAACGUUUGAACCACCGUGAAAGACAGUCGUGUUUACUGUUUUUCAUACUUGCAAUUUGAAGGAUCCACUGACACCAAUUCCCAAUACGAACUGAAAAAAUUCACGGCGACAUUGAUAAAUCCUUGUGUGGGUUCUCAAAUUCGUCUGGGGACGUAGAUCGACUUUCCUUGUUAUAUUUUUCUGAUCCUGAGUUAUUGUUCUGGAGGUCUGAAACUAGGAAUUGAAUUUGAAGCCGUUCAACCCGUUGCCAAAAGAAAACCGAAGAUGUUGGGAUUUGGAUACAUGUUGUUGGUGAUGCUUAUCGUGGCAACUAUCAGCAUUGCUGAAAACUCACGUACUCACGAAGGACUUUUGCCUAGUUCAACUCGCCUACGUGUACCAGUUGGACAAGAGGCCCUUGAUUUGAUCCCCUACUCAUGAGUCUUGUGUGUAAAAUAUUUAACUAUGGACCAUUAAUUUAGUAUAAUUUUUCAAUCUCCCUAUUAUCCCCGUGCUAAAAGUUUCCCCGCUUGCUUUUACAUUUCAAUUGACUUUUCGUUUAAUUUUCUAACGUAUCACUACAACAUAUUUCGUCAAACAGAUUUAUCUUUAAAAUGGAAAACUCGAUUCAACGAGAAAUAUUUACGUGUAUAUUCUACCUGCCUCAUGUGGUUCCAAUAUAACAUUAAAUAGCCUG
rnacentral:lncRNA from 1 species